AUAUUUUAAGCACAUUAUGCCCCUGCUUGAACUACCAAAGAACGCAUGUAAGAAAAGAUGAUAAUAACAGACAAGUGAUAAAUGAUUGUCAGCGUCCGUCCACCCUAGGAAAGAAGAAUGGUAACCAGUCAAAAGAAAGGACAAAUCCCUCUAAGUAUUUGCGAUGCCCAAAAAAUUUAUAGCCACAAUAACUCACACGACAACAUUCAUCCCACCGCCACGACCAAAAAUUCAAUGCGUUCAUCAUAGGUAUCUUAUCGCCAAACUAAUGUCACAUUUACCUUUUCACACAUUGAGAAACCAAAGGUGAGACUCAGGUCACCAAUCAAAAUCAACUUCCGUAAAAAAUUUCCCAAAAUAUCAAAUACUUACUUCUCCAGAGAGAUCCACUGGAAACAAAGUGAUUGCACUGGGAUCAAAACUGAAUCCACUGACAAAAGAAAAAUCAGCACGAUAUUAGCAACCGGCCAUAACUGGAA